GUGUGUGUCUUUCAGUGGCAAUUAACCUCAAUUAUUAUCCUAUAGUCCAUAAAAACAGCUGCAUGGAACAGGGUCUGUGAGGGAUCCGUAUCUAGGUCUGGAAUCUCCUCACAGUUCUCCAAGAGAGUGACUAUGUUUGGGGCAUUUUCAGACAUGCUAUAAAUCCUAACUGGCAUUGUUUGCUCCCAGCGAUAAAAGAAAGGGUAGCAGGUGUGCCUCCCAACCAACCCUUUAUUGCCUGGGCAUGUGACAGCAUUUUGCGGCACCUCAGUAAUGAGCCAGAGAAGAAGGAAAGGCAGAUGAAUUUGCCAGCAUUAUUGCAGGUAUCUUGAAGGAGAGUUGAGCCCAGCUUUUCAAUUCAUACAGAUCCUUUCUCUGAAGAACCCCUUCCUGAUAUUGUCACUUUAACACAUCUCUGUGGUUUUAUUUUGAAAUUUUUAAAGGUACAGUCAUGUGCCGCAUAAUGACAUUCAGUCAAUGACAGACUGCAUAUAUGAGGUGGUCCUGUAAGGUGAUAAUGGAGCUGAAAAAUUCCUACUACUGAACGACAUCAUAGCCAUUGUAACAUCAUAGCACAACCAAUCACCUUUUCUAUAUUUAGAUAAGGAGUUCAUAUGCUGGAAUGAUAGUGACACAGGAGUUUAACACUCCUACAGUAUCCAGAGCCUGGAUCCCUGAGUCAUCAGAUGGAGAAGAACUACUCAGGAGAGUCAUCCAACCUUCAUAGACAGUGGCAUGAGUGGGAAUUAAACAUUGAUUAUGUUAAGCCAUUGCAGUUUGGGGUUGUUUGUUACAGAAGUGUUCAUUUUCCCUUAUUGACCCA
rnacentral:lncRNA from 10 species